UCUUCAAUCUUUAUGUCAUCUACUAACAUUGUUAACUCUAUGUUUACUUUAUUUUUUUGUAAAGUAGUAAAAUCUUGUAUGAAAUUGACAGUAAUUAUUGCAUCUGUAAUUGAAGUAGGAUAUUUUGCUAAUCAUUGGAUAAAUUUUCCAUCAUCCUCUCGAUCAUAAAAUCUAGGAUCCAUGUAGCUGAGUACAAUAG
rnacentral:lncRNA from 1 species